AUGGCUUGCAUAAUGAAAAAUAUUAAUAGUCCUACCGAGAAUACUUUUGAUCUGGAAAGUGUUGUGCAUAACUUUUCAGGCAAAUUGAACUAUUCACAGAGAAAGUUCAGAUCCAAAAAGCAGAAUGGGAAUUUCAGGGGCAGGGCCUCUAAAGGAAUUUCACUUUCUGAGGAUUUCAGGACUAUCUUUAGAUUGGAACUCUCUGAAGUUACACCAUGUAGGCAGGUCCACAUUUGUUCCACUUAUACAUAAGGUCAGUCCAGGACAGCACUUUCUAUCACUACAGGCAAAAAUAUACCUAGAAGCAAAACUGCUGUGUCAUAUGGUAACUCAAUGUUUAAACUUCUGAAAAAUUGCCAAACUGUUUCCAAAGUGACUGAACCAUUUUACAUUCCCACCAACAAUAAAUUAGGAUCCCAUUCUCCCAACAUUAAAUGUUUGUUUAAUGUAUUCACAUUCCCACCAACAAUAAUUUCUCCACAUCCUUGGAAAUCCUUGUUAAUCCAUCCUAGUGGGGACUAGGGAGUGGUAUUGUAUUGAGUUUUGAUUUGGAUUUCCCUGAUAACUAAUGAGGUGAACAUCUUUUCAUAUGUUUAUUGCAACUUGUAUACCUUCUUUGGAGAAAUGUCUAUUCAGAUUGCUUACCCAUUUUUAAAUUGGGUUAUUUAUCAUCUUUUGAUAGCUAUAGACUUACAUUUUUUUUAAAGCUCUGGCCCUUAUUUGUAUAGUGGUGAUAGGUUAUUGGAUUAAAAUAGGUAGUGCAUGGACUAUUAUGAUAAAGUUGAAAUUUAAGGAAAGGUACUUGUACAGAGUUGUCAGAAAUAUGACUACAAAUGUGUGGUAGUCAGGAAAUUGCUGUUGACUUUACAAUUUCAGUCAAGUUGUAGGAACAAAACGUAAAUUACAUAUGUUGGGAAAGAAAUAGGGGAUACAGAGAGAAAACGUCAUUUAAAAAUCUUUCAUGUAUUAAUUACCUUGCCAUAUUUUUUGCCAGUGGGAUCACAUGUGGAAGAAAGCAUCAAUUCUAAACACAUUGUUAUGGGGGAAAUCAUAGAUAGCAAAUUAUUCAGAAAAUGCUACAGCUGAGCAGAUUGCCUUGCGAGGCCGAACAGGCUCCACAUCCAC
rnacentral:lncRNA from 1 species